GAUUGACUAUGAAGAGGAGGACGACCAGUUACACCUAAAAGUGAACUGGCCACAAUACGUCGAGGCACAAAAUGAGAAGCUUCAAAAAAUAUUGGAAACAUAUGAAGAGCAAUACCAGAACAUGCAAGUAGGUUUAGAACAAGUUACCAAGGGAGCAGCUUCCCAGGUUGGGAGAAUUUGUGAUGCAUUUAAUUCCCCCACGUACAAUCUUAAUUCCAAGUGUGCGCAUUCUGCACAGAUUCAAGAGUCUCAAGUAUCCUGCUAAUUAAUAUUACAUUGCAUUUUACAAAUAAUUUUAUGUUGCUUAUUCAGAUU